CAAAAACGUGGUCGUCGUGUCAACUUGGUCGCGUCUACUACUCUAUUUAUGGAAUAGCUUAUACUCCAUGCUGUUUAAAAGAUUUAAGGCCUGUGCCAGCCAUCAUUACCACAAGAUAUGCCAGUUUUGCAUGUCUCACCAUUAUUGCUUGGAUAAACAGCAUUUCUCUUGAUUGGAAAAACUACCGAUGCCGACCGUGUUACGUAUAUAUUCUCCCUUUUCCUCGUCCUCGUCUACACACCCAUGUGAGUGUGUAUUCACGAGGACGCCCUUUUUCCUAUUCCGCCUGGUGUACUCAACUCUUUUGUGGAUGGGGCACUUGUGGAUGCCUGGCUUUUUCACAGGCUUAAAGAUACCAAAAGUUGUCGAAAAACACGCAGGAUUUUUAGCGGCUGCUCGAGUGACUCAAGGGGACAGUGUCAAUAGUUGAUGAUGAACCUCGUUCAACCGUCGUUAAGCCUGGGAAAAAAAAUUGUCAUUAGCGGAGAAAACACGUACUCGCUCGUUUCAUUAUGCUGAACAACAUGUAUCCUUCAGGUCAUUGCUGCUGUUGGUGUCAUACCUCGUCUCUUGUUGAAGUGGAGUUCGUGUCCCUUUGAUGACGAGUUGAGAUGAAUCACAGCUUGCUAGCUGCCGCAGGAAACGUCGAACCAGACGUCCUGAUAUGAUUUCCGGUCAUGAAAGAUAUAUAUGUAGCGUCGAGUGCCUAGCAGCUCCAUGAUGAGUCAAAGGUUUGUGUACAAACAUUGCCUGAUCAAAGAUAUGUAGUUG